rnacentral:rRNA from 1 species
UACGGAGGGGGCCAGCGUUGUUCGGAAUCAUUGGGCGUAAAGGGCGCGUAGGCGGCCGAUCAAGUCGGAGGUGAAAUCCCUCGGCUCAACUGAGGAAUUGCCUCCGAUACUGUUCGGCUUGAGUCCUGGAGAGGGUAGUGGAAUUCCCAGUGUAGCGGUGAAAUGCGUAGAGACUGGGAAGAACACCAGUGGCGAAGGCGGCUACCUGGACAGGUACUGACGCUGAAGCGCGAAAGCGUGGGUAGCAAACAGG